rnacentral:rRNA from 1 species
AGAGGACCGAAGUGAACAAACCUCUAGUGUACCAAUUGUCACGCCAGUGGCAUAGUUGGGUAGCUACGUUUGGAAUGGAUAAGCGCUGAAAGCAUCUAAGUGCGAAGCCAACUUUAAGAUUAGGUAUCCCUUCCGUCUUAGACGGACUAAAGACUCCUUGGAGAUUACAAGGUUGAUAGGUUGUAGGUGUACGUACGGUAACGUAUUUAGCCGAGCAAUACUAAUAAGUCGUGAGGCUUAACCAU